GACGAACGCUGGCGGCGUGCUUUAGACAUGCAAGUCGAACGAGAUCUUCGGAUCUAGUGGCGAACGGCGGAGUAAUACAUAAACAACGUGCCCGAAGACUGGGAUAUACGGUCGAAAGGCCGAGCAAUACCGGAUGUGGCCGAGACUAGGCAUCUAGACUCGAUUAAAUGGUUUUCCGCUUCAGGAGCGGUUUAUGACUCAUCAGCUAGUUGGUAGGGUAAUGGCCUACCAAGGCUACGACGGGUAGGGGGUCUGAGAGGAUGAUCCCCCCGAGUGGGACUGAGACACGGCCCACACACCUACGGGUGGCAGCAGUUUGGAAUCUUGCCCAAUGGGGGAAACCCUGAGGCAGCGACGCCGCGUGGAGGAUGAAGGAUUUAGGUCUGUAAACUCCUUUUGCCAGGAAAGACUUAGGACGGUACCUGGCGAAUAAGCUCCGGCUAACUACGUGCCAGCAGCCG
rnacentral:rRNA from 1 species